CGGGUGAGUAACGCGUAGGUAACCUGCCUUGUAGCGGGGGAUAACUAUUGGAAACGAUAGCUAAUACCGCAUAACAAUGGGUGACCCAUGUCAUUCAUUUGAAAGGGGCAAAUGCUCCACUACAAGAUGGACCUGCGUUGUAUUAGCUAGUAGGUGAGGUAACGGCUCACCUAGGCGACGAUACAUAGCCGACCUGAGAGGGUGAUCGGCCACACUGGGACUGAGACACGGCCCAG
rnacentral:rRNA from 1 species